GACGAACGCUGGCGGCGUGCUUAACACAUGCAAGUCGAACGGAAAGGCCCUGCUUUUGUGGGGUGCUCGAGUGGCGAACGGGUGAGUAACACGUGAGUAACCUGCCCUUGACUUUGGGAUAACUUCAGGAAACUGGGGCUAAUACCGGAUAGGAGCUCCUGCUGCAUGGUGGGGGUUGGAAAGUUUCGGCGGUUGGGGAUGGACUCGCGGCUUAUCAGCUUGUUGGUGGGGUAGUGGCUUACCAAGGCUUUGACGGGUAGCCGGCCUGAGAGGGUGACCGGGCACAUUGGGACUGAGAUACGGCCCAGACUCCUACGGGAGGCAGCAGGGGGGAAUAUUGCACAAUGGGCGGAAGCCCGAUGCAGCAACGCCGCGUGCGGGAUGACGGCCUUCGGGUUGUAAACCGCUUUCGCCUGUGACGAAGCGUGAGUGACGGUAAUGGGUAAAGAAGCACCGGCUAACUACGUG
rnacentral:rRNA from 1 species